rnacentral:rRNA from 1 species
CCCUUAGAUGUUCUGGGCCGCACGCGCGCUACACUGAUACAAGCAGCAAGUCGUUUCCUUGACCGAAAGGUCUGGGUAAUCUUGUGAAAUUGUAUCGUGAUAGGGCUUGACGAUUGUAAUUAUUUGUCACAAACGAGGAAUUCCUAGUAAGCGCAAGUCAUCAACUUGCACUGAUUACGUCCCUGCCCUUUGUACACACCGCCCGUCGCUCCUACCGAUUGAAUGGUCCGGUGAAAAUUUCGGAUACCGGCAUUGCUGGCGGUUCGCCGCCGGCGACGCUGGUAGAAGAUCUUUAAACCUUAUCAUUUAGAGGAAGGAGAAGUCGUANCA